AGAAGCUUGCUUCUCUUGAGAGCGGCGGACGGGUGAGUAAAGCCUAGGAAUCUGCCUGGUAGUGGGGGAUAACGUUCGGAAACGGACGCUAAUACCGCAUACGUCCUACGGGAGAAGGCAGGGGACCUUCGGGCCUUGCGCUAUCAGAUGAGCCUAGGUCGGAUUAGCUAGUUGGUGAGGUAAUGGCUCACCAAGGCGACGAUCCGUAACUGGUCUGAGAGGAUGAUCAGUCACACUGGAACUGAGACGCGGUCCAGACUCCUACGGGAGGCAGCAGUGGGGAAUAUUGGACAAUGGGCGAAAGCCUGAUCCAGCCAUGCCGCGUGUGUGAAGAAGGUCUUCGGAUUGUAAAGCACUUUAAGUUGGGAGGAAGGGCAUUAACCUAAUACGUUAGUGU
rnacentral:rRNA from 1 species